AGUGAACGCUGGCGGUAGGCCUAACACAUGCAAGUCGAACGGCAGCACAGUAAGAGCUUGCUCUUACGGGUGGCGAGUGGCGGACGGGUGAGGAAUACAUCGGAAUCUACUUUUUCGUGGGGGAUAACGUAGGGAAACUUACGCUAAUACCGCAUACGACCUACGGGUGAAAGCAGGGGAUCUUCGGACCUUGCGCGAUUGAAUGAGCCGAUGUCGGAUUAGCUAGUUGGCGGGGUAAAGGCACACCAAGGCGACGAUCCGUAGCUGGUCUGAGAGGAUGAUCAGCCACACUUGAACUGAGACACGGUCCAGACUCCUACGGGAGGCAGCAGUGGGGAAUAUUGGACAAUGGGCGCAAGCCUGAUCCAGCCAUACCGGGGGGGUUAAGAAGGCCUUCGGGUUGUAAAGCCCUUUUGUUGGGAAAGAAAAGCAGCAGGUUAAUACCCCGCUGUUCUGACGGUACCCAAAGAAUAAGCACCGGCUAACUUCGUG
rnacentral:rRNA from 1 species